AGUGAACGCUGGCGGUAGGCCUAACACAUCCCAGUCGAACGGCAGCACAGUAAGAGCUUGCUCUUACGGGUGGCGAGUGGCGGACGGGUGAGGAAUACAUCGGAAUCUACUUUUUCGUGGGGGAUAACGUAGGGAAACUUACGCUAAUACCGCAUACGACCUACGGGUGAAAGCAGGGGAUCUUCGGACCUUGCGCGAUUGAAUGAGCCGAUGUCGGAUUAGCUAGUUGGCGGGGUAAAGGCCCACCAAGGCGACGAUCCGUAGCUGGUCUGAGAGGAUGAUCAGCCACACUGGAACUGAGACACGGUCCAGACUCCUACGGGAGGCAGCAGUGGGGAAUAUUGGACAAUGGGCGCAAGCCUGAUCCAGCCAUACCGCGUGGGUGAAGAAGGCCUUCGGGUUGUAAAGCCCUUUUGUUGGGAAAGAAAAGCAGCAGGUUAAUACCCCGCUGUUCUGACGGUACCCAAAGAAUAAGCACCGGCUAACUUCGUG
rnacentral:rRNA from 1 species